rnacentral:rRNA from 1 species
AGCAGCCGCGGUAAUUCCAGCUCCAAUAGCGUAUAUUAAAGUUGUUGCAGUUAAAAAGCUCGUAGUUGAAUUUCGAGACCGGCUUACUGGUCGUGCUAUUGUACGUACUGGUAUAAUCGGUUUCUCCUUUCUGACGAACUAUAAUGCCAUUAAUUUGGUGUUAUAGGGAAUCAGGACUGUUACUUUGAAAAAAUUAGAGUGUUUAAAGCAGGCUCACGCUUGAAUACAUUAGCAUGG